AUGGCUCAGAUUGAACGCUGGCGGCAUGCCUUACACAUGCAAGUCGAACGGUAGAGUAGCAAUACUCGAGAGUGGCGAACGGGUGAGUAAUAUAUCGGAACGUGCCCAGUCGUGGGGGAUAACGUAGAGAAAUUUACGCUAAUACCGCAUACGAUCUACGGAUGAAAGCGGGGGAUCGCAAGACCUCGCGCGAUUGGAGCGGCUGAUAUCAGAUUAGGUUGUUGGUGAGGUAAAAGCUCACCAAGCCGACGAUCUGUAGCUGGUUUGAGAGAACGACCAGCCACACUGGGACUGAGAUACGGCCCAGACUCCUACGGGAGGCAGCAGUGGGGAAUUUUGGACAAUGGGCGAAAGCCUGAUCCAGCAAUGCCGCGUGCAGGAAGAAGGCCUUCGGGUUGUAAACUGCUUUUGUACGGAACGAAACGGUCCUUUCUAAUAAAGAGGGCUAAUGACGGUACCGUAAGAAUAAGCACCGGCUAACUACGUGCCAGCAGCCGCGGUAAUACGUAGGGUGCGA
rnacentral:rRNA from 1 species